rnacentral:rRNA from 1 species
UACAGAGGGGGCUAGCGUUAUUCGGAAUUAUUGGGCGUAAAGGGCGCGUAGGCGGCCAUGCGUGUCUUCCGUGAAAUCCCUCGGCUUAACUGAGGACGUGCGGAAGAAACUGCAAGGCUUGAGUCCGGGAGAGGGGGGUGGAAUUCCCAGUGUAGCGGUGAAAUGCGUAGAUAUUGGGAGGAACACCGGUGGCGAAGGCGGCCCCCUGGACCGGAACUGACGCUGAGGCGCGAAAGCGUGGGUAGCAAACGG